AACUUUGCGCAGUGGCAGUAUCGUAGCCUAUGAGGUUUAUCCGAGGCGCGAUUAUUGCUAGUUGAAAAUUAACAGUUUUAACAUGAAGUCAGUUUCGUUGAUGUUAUAAACUCUUCAUUGAUGGAAACUUGAGUGCAAA